UACAGAGGUCUCAAGCGUUGUUCGGAUUCAUUGGGCGUAAAGGGUGCGUAGGUGGCGCCGUAAGUCAGGUGUGAAAAUUUCGGAGCUUAACUCCGAAACUGCAUUUUGAUACUGCGGUGCUUGAGGACUGGAGAGGAGACUGGAAUUUACGGUGUAGCAGUGAAAUGCGUAGAGAUCGUAAGGAAGACCAGUGGCGAAGGCGGGUCUCUGGACAGUUCCUGACACUGAGGCACGAAGGCCAGGGGAGCAAACGGG
rnacentral:rRNA from 1 species